UACGUAGGGUGUAAGCGUUGUCCGGAAUUAUUGGGCGUAAAGAGCUCGUAGGCGGUCUGUCGCGUCGGAUGUGAAAACUCGGGGCUCAACCCCGAGCCUGCAUUCGAUACGGGCAGACUAGAGUUCGGUAGGGGAGACUGGAAUUCCUGGUGUAGCGGUGAAAUGCGCAGAUAUCAGGAGGAACACCGGUGGCGAAGGCGGGUCUCUGGGCCGAUACUGACGCUGAGGAGCGAAAGCGUGGGGAGCGAACAGG
rnacentral:rRNA from 1 species